rnacentral:snRNA from 1 species
GGCUUUGCACAGUGGCAGUAUUGCACCCAAUGAGGUUUAUCUAAGGUGCAAUUAUUGCUAAUUGAC